ensembl:snRNA U1 U1 spliceosomal RNA
AUACUUACCUGGCAGGGGAGAUACUGUGAUCACAAAGGUUGAUUUCCCAGGGUGAGUCUCAUCCAUUGAGCUUGGGAUGUGCUGACCUCUGUGAUUUCCCCAAAUGUGGGAAACUCAACUGUAUAAUUUGUGGUAGUGGGGGACUGCGUUCUCACUCUCCCCUA